rnacentral:rRNA from 1 species
CAAGUCGAACGCGGUUUCCUCGCAAGGGGAAACUGAGUGGCGAACGGGUGAGUAACGCGUGGGUGACCUACCUCCGAGUGGGGGAUAACGUCCCGAAAGGGACGCUAAUACCGCAUGACAUCCUGCCCUUGAACGGGUGGAGAUCAAAGCUGGGGAUCGCAAGACCCGGCGCUUGAAGAGGGGCCCGCGUCCGAUUAGCUAGUUGGUGAGGUAACGGCUCACCAAGGCGACGAUCGGUAUCCGGCCUGAGAGGGCGGACGGACACACUGGGACUGAGACACGGCCCAGACUCCUACGGGAGGCAGCAGUGGGGAAUUGUUCACAAUGGGCGCAAGCCUGAUGACGCAAUGCCGCGUGGAGGAUGAAGGUCUUCGGAUUGUAAACUCCUGUUGCCAGGGACGAAUGGCUCCGACCUAAUACGUCGGAGAAUGACGGUACCUGGUGAGGAAGCCCCGGCUAACUCUGUGCCAGCAGCCGCGGUAAUACAGAGGGGGCGAGCGUUGUUCGGAAUUACUGGGCGUAAAGGGCGCGUAGGCGGCCUCUUAAGUCGAACGUGAAAUCCCCGGGCUCAACCCGGGAACUGCGUCCGAUACUGGGGGGCUUGAAUCCGGGAGAGGGAUGUGGAAUUCCAGGUGUAGCGGUGAAAUGCGUAGAUAUCUGGAGGAACACCGGUGGCGAAGGCGGCAUCCUGGACCGGUAUUGACGCUGAGGCGCGAAAGCCAGGGGAGCAAACGGGAUUAGAUACCCCGGUAGUCCUGGCCCUAAACGAUGAAUGCUUGGUGUGGCGGGUAUCGAUCCCUGCCGUGCCGAAGCUAACGCAUUAAGCAUUCCGCCUGGGGAGUACGGUCGCAAGGCUGAAACUCAAAGGGAAUUGACGGGGGCCCGCACAAGCGGUGGA